GAGUGAACGCUGGCGGCAGGCCUAACACAUGCAAGUCGAACGGCAGCACAGGAGAGCUUGCUCUCCGGGUGGCGAGUGGCGGACGGGUGAGGAAUACAUCGGAAUCUGCCUAUACGUGGGGGAUAACGUAGGGAAACUUACGCUAAUACCGCAUACGUCCUACGGGAGAAAGCGGGGGAUCGCAAGACCUCGCGCGGAUAGAUGAGCCGAUGUCUGAUUAGUUAGUUGGUGAGGUAACGGCUCACCAAGACUUCGAUCAGUAGGGGAUCUGAGAGGACUACCCCCCACACGGAUACUGAGACACGGAUCCGACUCCUACGGGAGGCAGCAGUAAGGAAUAUUGGACAAUGCCCGCAAGGGUGAUCCAGCCAUGCCGCGUGCAGGAAGACGGCCCUAUGGGUUGUAAACUGCUUUUACACCGGAGAAAACCCCUUCUCGUGAGGAGGGCUGAUAGUAUGGUGAGAAUAAGCAUCGGCUAACUUCGUGCCAGCAGCCGCGGUAAGACGAAGGAUGCAAGCGUUAUCCGGAUUCAUUGGGUUUAAAGGGAGCGUAGGUGGCCUGCUAAGUCAGUGGUGAAAUCUCUGGGCUUAACCCAGAAAUUGCCGUUGAUACUGGUGGGCUUGAGUGCAGAUGCCGUUGGCGGAAUAUGACAUGUAGUGGUGAAAUACAUAGAGAUGUCAUAGAACACCGAUUGCGAAGGCGGCUGACGAAACUGUAACUGACACUGAGGCUCGAAAGUGUGGGGAUCAAACAGGAUUAGAUACCCUGGUAGUCCACACUGUAAACGAUGAUUACUCGCUGCUGGGAGGUAACUUUCAGUGGCUGAGCGAAAGCGAUAAGUAAUCCACCUGGGGAGUACGCCGGCAACGGUGAAACUCAAAGGAAUUGACGGGGGCCCGCACAAGCGGAGGAGCAUGUGGUUUAAUUCGAUGAUACGCGAGGAACCUUACCAGGGCUUGAAAGUUAGUGACCGACUCUGAAAGGAGUCUUCCCGCAAGGGCACAAAACUAGGUGCUGCAUGGCUGUCGUCAGCUCGUGCCGUGAGGUGUUGGGUUAAGUCCCGCAACGAGCGCAACCCCUACCAUUAGUUGCCAGCGGUUCGGCCGGGGACUCUAAUGGAACUGCCCGCGCAAGCGGAGAGGAAGGUGGGGAUGACGUCAAGUCAUCACGGCCCUUACGUCCUGGGCUACACACGUGCUACAAUGGCCACUACAGAGGGCAGCUACCUGGCAACAGGAUGCCAAUCCUUAAAGGUGGUCUCAGUUCGGAUUGGGGUCUGCAACUCGACCUCAUGAAGCUGGAUUCGCUAGUAAUCGCGCAUCAGCAAUGGCGCGGUGAAUACGUUCCCGGGCCUGCACUCACCGC
rnacentral:rRNA from 1 species